ensembl:lncRNA
GAGGACGAUGUCAUUGGACUGCUGCCUCCACUGGCCCUGGAAGCUCUUGCCUCCAUCCAUCCAUCCAUCCAUCCAUCCAUCCAUCCAUCCAUCCACAUGGUCAUCCAUUCAGAACUUUAAAACAAACCAUCAGUCAUAGUUUUUCUUGACAGAAUUCACCUUUUUAGUUAAAAAUGACAGUUCUGUGAAUUUCUUUCAUUUUCAACAUCAGUUUUAAAUUCAGGAAAUGAAUCAGAAUGUAAAAGUCACUCUCAGUUCAGUCCUGAAUGGUGCACAAUGAAACUCAAUGCUGCUGCUGGCAUGUUCCUGACGGAGGUGUAGGAUGUGAAACACAGGAGUAACAUGCAGCUGUCAGCCAUCUAAACCGUACUUCAGAGCUGAAUCCAAUCACCCUUCACAAAUCAAAUAAUUAGUGGCCCUCCAUCUACAGUACUGUAUGUUAAAAGGCUAAUUGCUUGACUGCGGCA